CAAUGGGGAAUGCUGUGAGGGCUGUGGGGGUGGGGGGACCCAGCAGACCUGGGGGCCGGGUUGAAUGUCAGCUGCUUGAAGAGAGGUCCAUGGUGCUGGCACUGAGGCCCCGGGAGACCUGAAACAGACAACACUACCCCAUCAGCUCAGGGACCUCGGCCUCCCAAAGACUGGCUCCUAGAGUCCAUCCAUCCCAUGGUCACAGUGUAUCUCUGGACCUAGGAUCACAUCUGUCUCUGGACCAGUCUAUCUCUGGACCUGGGACUUUGUUUAGCCUCUGCUAGGGUUUUCCAGAAGGCCACAAUCUGGUGGAGAAGCUACCUGGAAGAACCACAUGAAUACUGGCAUAUACUUUGAGUGUGUUGAUACAAGAAGUCAUUUGCCAUUAAAAUAUCACUAGUGUUUUCUCAGA
rnacentral:antisense_RNA from 1 species